CCUGAGCUUAAUUUCAACGUCAGAAAAUGGAGGCUUUCAGAUUUUGCAGUUUGUAUUUACGGAGAUAGCAGCAUCUGUAUAGCAUACUCAAAUACUCCUGACCACAUGGCAACAGCAACCAUGGAGUGAUUUAACAGGACCUUCAUUUGGUGUCCAUAACGUGUAGAAUGUCUACAGCCAUUCUACCCUGAACAUUCCCGAUCUCAUCUGAUCUUGGAAGCUAAGGAGGGCCAAGCCUGGUGUGAGGUGUUUAUCUUUGAAAAGCAGGAGAUAGCCCUGCAAAGAAGAAACACAUACGCUGGAGAAUUGAAGAUUCAGGAAAUGGCUGACUAAAUUUAAAAAAAAAAACACCUACCAUAAAAACAAAACCGCAACCUAAAAAAACCUGACAGCAGAUAAAUUAAGAUGUUGUGCAGCAUAUGAUGGCUUCAACAAAACAACUUAUGAGUUCCCCUUGCUAAUUCAGAAAUACCUCAAAAUGACACAUCUGUAGCAACAAAAUGACACUUUUCUCUGAAUUAUUUUGCAAUUUUGUCUUGUAUUUCAUUUUUGGCAUGGGCUGUAAACUGUGCUAAUCUCUUGUCCAGAUAGGAUGUUAUACCAACUGGAAUAGUUUAAAAUUGUCAUUCAACAUAACCCAUAUCUUCCAUGCUGAUGGUACCUGUGGACCAGCACAGGUGUACGUUCCAGAUAAUUCCCACAGAGCCAGUCAUUCUUUUUUGU